AACGGCCAUAUCACGCUGAAACACAGGUACUUAUACGAUCACCGAAAUUAAGCAACGUCGAGCCUGGUCAGUACUUAAAUGGGGAUGACCGCUUGGGAAUACCAGGUGCUGUAA